rnacentral:rRNA from 1 species
UACAGAGGUCUCAAGCGUUGUUCGGAAUCACUGGGCGUAAAGGGUGCGUAGGUGGCGAGGUAAGUCAGAUGUGAAAGCCCGGGGCUCAACCUCGGAAUUGCAUCCGAUACUGCCCUGCUCGAGUACUGAAGGGGUGACUAGAAUUCUCGGUGUAGCAGUGAAAUGCGUAGAUAUCGAGAGGAAUACCAAAGGCGUAGGCAGGUCACUGGGCAGUUACUGACACUGAGGCACGAAGGCCAGGGGAGCGAACGGGAUUAGAAACCCGGUGUC